AUGAGCAUGCUUUUUGUCCUCAGCAUGCUCCCUUGCAGAGUGCUUACCCAUGGAUAUGAGCUGAAGCAACAUGAAAACCCGCCAAGGCUGCUGUUUGAAUCAGGCUCUGUGUUGCAGCUGUGUCUCACCAUCGAAGCUGGCGGACUAACAUGAUUUAGGUUUAUGUGUCCACGGUUAGCAGGCCUUGUUUUAGGCAAAAAUAUCUAUCGGCUGAGCUUCAGGUUCAUAAACACAGCUGUCCCCUACUUGGAGGCUUGCUUUUCUUUCUUUCUUCUCUUUACCCAAAAAGCUUAAAGCUAUUAUUGCCUUCAAAGCUUAGGAAAAAGUCAGCCUCGUUGGGUAGGCCAGCUCUUGUGUGCAUCAGUUAAAUUCUAUGCCAAGAUGCAUUAAUUAUUUAUAAACACUGGGUUUUAAAAUGCUUCACUUUGAAAAAAAGAUACCCAUUUCUACUCCUACUAUUCUUAGAUCUUCAAAGUAAGUAAAUGACACAGGAAAAAUUAAAGCAAGGAUAAAUCUUCUAAAACCCAAGAAUUUUUAAAGGGUACUUUCCAUAUAGAAAAACCAAAUAGAAAACAGAUUUAUCUCAACUAAAGCAUAUAUUUCCUGAAUUCACCUUGUCAUUAUUAACAUUUAUAUAAUUGCUUUUAAUCUCUUUUACUUUUGGAAACUUCAGUACAUUCUAUUCAAUUCAUCAACGAUUUAAUGAUCACUUACUACAUGGAGCACACUGGGCUGAUACAUUGGGAAGUAAAAAUGAUAGUUAUUUGCCCAGCACUCAAGUAGCUUAGAUUAUAUAUAGUGCUUUAAAAGAAAUCAAAUCCAGUAACUUUUAGUUGCAUAAGGCCUCUAGAUUUUGUUUUAAAUAUAUUAAGACAUAGUUCACAACAGAAAUUUCUAUAUUAAAUUUUUUCUAAAUGUACACACACAGGCAUCUUCAGAGAUUCAAACUCACCCUUUCUUGAUACUUCUUUCCACUACUCUCAUUUACCUCAUUAUUUCCCAGAGUUUUUUCUUUUUUUUAACAUCUUUAUUGGAGGAUAAUUGCUUGACAUUGUUGUGUUACUUGCUGCUAUAUAACAAAGUGAAUCAGCUAUACAUAUACAUAUAUCCCCAUAUUCCCU
rnacentral:lncRNA from 1 species